rnacentral:rRNA from 1 species
GACGAACGCUGGCGGCGUGCCUAAUACAUGCAAGUAGAAGCUAGUUGCGAACGGGUGAUUAACGCGUUGUAACCUGCCUCAUAGCGGGGGAUAACUAUUGGAAACGUUAUCUAAUACCGCAUACUGUGAUCUGGCCCUGGGUGUGAUUAGCUAGUUGGUGCGGUAAAGGCUCACCAAGACGACGAUACAUAGCUGGUUUGAGAGGACGACCAGCAACACUGGGACUGAGACACGGCCCAGACGCCUACGGGAGGCAGCAGUGGGGAAUAUUGGACAAUGGGGGAAACCCUGAUCCAGCCAUCCCGCGUGUGUGAUGAAGGCCUUCGGGUUGUAAAGCACUUUUGGCAGGAAAGCGGUACCUGCAGAAUAAGCACCGGCUAACUACGUGCCAGCAGCCGCGGUAAUAC